CAGGCCUAACACAUGCAAGUCGAGCGGGCCCUUCGGGGUCAGCGGCGGACGGGUGAGUAACGCGUGGGAACGUGCCUUCUGGUUCGGAAUAACUCAGGGAAACUUGAGCUAAUACCGGAUACGCCCUUUUGGGGAAAGGUUUACUGCCGGAAGAUCGGCCCGCGUCUGAUUAGCUAGUUGGUGGGGUAACGGCCUACCAAGGCGACGAUCAGUAGCUGGUCUGAGAGGAUGAUCAGCCACACUGGGACUGAGACACGGCCCAGACUCCUACGGGAGGCAGCAGUGGGGAAUAUUGGACAAUGGGCGCAAGCCUGAUCCAGCCAUGCCGCGUGAGUGAUGAAGGCCUUAGGGUUGUAAAGCUCUUUUAUCCGGGACGAUAAUGACGGUACCGGAGGAAUAAGCCCCGGCUAACUUCGUGCCAGCAGCCGCGGUAAU
rnacentral:rRNA from 1 species